GUGUUGUCAUUAAGUAUGUUCCAUAUGUGGGAGACAGCAAGAGAGCCAUGGAUGAGUACACAUCCGAGAUAUUUAUGGGCGGAAAGAACACCAUCGUCCUGCACAACACCUGUAGAGACUCUCUCUUGGCUGCACCGAUUAUCCUCGAUUUGGUCCUCCUUGCUGAGCUUAGCACCCGCAUUGAAUUCAAGGCUGAAACAGAGGACAAGUUCCACUCCUUCCAUCCAGUUGCUACCAUACUCAGUUACCUUACUAAAGCACCUUUGUAAGUUCUAUUCCCCUCUUGUUGAUUGCUUUUGCUUCUUUUUUUGGGCUUACAGUUACUAGUAAGUAUAUUGUCAAUUUAAGGCGUCAAAUCUUGCCGGUCAAAUCCAAGAGUAAUAUCGUGAGUAAUUUGAAGGUGGUGCACAAGAAAAAGCCCACAUGAAACAUCAUCAAAAUGACUUUUGUUGUUAUUUUGGGGGGAAAGUGACAGGUAUACUAGCGCUUCUGCGGAAAUAUAGGGCUAUUUUAGAAGGCUUAAAAUUUUUUACCCCCUUUUAACUUAUUCAAAUUGCCAUCGUGAUAGUUGAUACCAUAUGGCUAUAUGCACCAGUAUUAAAUAACGAGUUUCAUAGUUACAUGGGAUCACCGUAAGUACAUGUCAGAUCCUUGACACUCACAUGGACUCGGACACUUGGAUACUUCAUUUUGGGCCAAAAUCAUUGAAAAUUUUCAUAAAUUAGUCGAGUCAGAGAUACUUGGACACAUACGUGUCAGACAUGAUACAAGAGUCUAGUGCCCACUAUGCUUGUCAUUGAUGCUUAUAAUAUGACUAUGCUCUCUUAAAAAGUCAUUAGUCAAUAUUGCCUUUUGCUAAAGCUUAAGUAAUCAAACUUGUUAUACCAUAUUCAGAAAAUUUAUCGCAAGUUGUGUACUAAAAAGUUGAGAUCUUGAACAAUUUGAUAGGUUCCACCGGGCACUCCUGUGGUGAACGCGCUCUCGAAACAGAGGGCAAUGCUGGAGAACAUUAUGAGGGCAUGCGUCGGUUUAGCUCCCGAGAACAACAUGAUUCUCGAGUACAAGUAGAGUAGCAUCUACACAAGCAGCACAGCAGCAGCAGCAGCCGCCACAGCCACAGCCACAGCCACAUCCCCCAAAGGGCGCUUCGCAAAUAAAAGAGACGUUGAUCUGGAAGUUGUUAAUUUGUGCUUAUUGCUGUUGUGUUUUCGCAUUAGUGACUGGAAAGGCAGCACCCAUUAAUGAAAUUUUAGCUUUGUGGUGGUCUUGCCCCUUUUUUUCUGUCUUCAUUAUUUCUGUUUUAAAAUGUUUCUUAGGUCCAUCAACUUUUCCUGGUAGUGGAUCCCUUGUCCGUCUUUGUAAUGUAUAGUUGUUGGUGUUAGCAAUAUUGAGAGUAAUGCAGUUUUUCUUGCUUAGCUUAAUCUAUGUAAUUAUGGAAUUAUUAAGUAUUGCCUAAGUUUGCUGUGGUUACCUUAAGCUCUAAUUUUUUUCAUUGAAUAUAUAUGCUGUUGUCAAAAAUAUAAUUGGAAAAAUUGAUUCUAAUAAUUCAAUUUUUUGGUCA